rnacentral:rRNA from 1 species
AGUGGCGGACGGGUGAGUAACGCGUGGGUAACCUGCCCUGUACACACGGAUAACAUACCGAAAGGUAUGCUAAUACGAGAUAAUAUACUUUUAUCGCAUGGUAGAAGUAUCAAAGCUCCGGCGGUACAGGAUGGACCCGCGUCUGAUUAGCUAGUUGGUAAGGUAACGGCUUACCAAGGCGACGAUCAGUAGCCGACCUGAGAGGGUGAUCGGCCACAUUGGAACUGAGACACGGUCCAAACUCCUACGGGAGGCAGCAGUGGGGAAUAUUGCACAAUGGGCGAAAGCCUGAUGCAGCAACGCCGCGUGAGCGAUGAAGGCCUUCGGGUCGUAAAGCUCUGUCCUCAAGGAAGAUAAUGACGGUACUUGAGGAGGAAGCCCCGGCUAACUACGUGCCAGCAGCCGCGGUAAUACGUAGGGGGCUAGCGUUAUCCGGAAUUACUGGGCGUAAAGGGUGCGUAGGUGGUUUCUUAAGUCAGAGGUGAAAGGCUACGGCUCAACCGUAGUAAGCCUUUGAAACUGGGAAACUUGAGUGCAGGAGAGGAGAGUGGAAUUCCUAGUGUAGCGGUGAAAUGCGUAGAUAUUAGGAGGAACACCAGUUGCGAAGGCGGCUCUCUGGACUGUAACUGACACUGAGGCACGAAGGCGUGGGGAGCAAACAGGAUUAGAUACCCUGGUAGUCCACGCCGUAAACGAUGAGUACUAGCUGU